rnacentral:rRNA from 1 species
UUGGUAUCUUAGUGGCGGACGGGUGAGUAACGCGUGGGUAACCUGCCUUACACUGGGGGAUAACACUUAGAAAUAGGUGCUAAUACCGCAUAACAGGAGAAGACGCAUGUCUUUUCCUUGAAAACUCCGGUGGUGUAAGAUGGACCCGCGUCUGAUUAGCUGGUUGGCGGGGUAACGGCCCACCAAGGCGACGAUCAGUAGCCGGCCUGAGAGGGUGAACGGCCACAUUGGGACUGAGACACGGCCCAAACUCCUACGGAAGGCAGCAG